AGCGGAUUGGUGUAGAGGUAACAUAUUAGGCUCAUAUCCUAAAGAUAGCAGGUUCGAGUCCUGCAUCCGCCU
rnacentral:tRNA from 1 species